AAGAUGAGAACCGAACCGGUUUCUUUCGGUUAAUUUGGUUGGUUAUGCUAAUUUUGGAGAUCUGGUUCGGUUUGUACUGGCUUGUCGUGCAGUCUCUCCGUUGGAAUCCGGUUUGGCGAUCCACCUUCACCGAUAGACUCUCCCGGAGAUACGGCAACGAUCUCCCGAGGCUCGACGUUUUCGUUUGCACGGCGGAUCCGGUGAUAGAGCCGCCGUUGAUGGUGGUCAACACAGUGUUAUCCGUGAUGGCUCUCGAUUACCCACCGGAGAAACUAGCGGUGUAUCUCUCGGACGACGGUGGCUCUCAGCUCACGUUCUACGCUCUCGCGGAGGCAGCUGAGUUUGCUAAAACAUGGGUUACGUUCUGUAAGAGAUUCGACGUGGAGCCGAGAUCCCCUGGCGCUUACUUUUCUUCCAAGUCAAAUGUUCUUGACUCCGAGGUGGCUGAGCUGUAUAGAGAGAUGGCGGCUAGGAUUGAAACGGCGACGAAACUACGGCGAGUACCCGAGGAGGCGCGGUUGAAGUGCCGUGAGGGGUUUUCGCAGUGGGAUUCUGACGCCACUCAAAGAAACCACGCAACCAUUCUUCAAGUAAGUAUUUUAGUUAUGUUCUGUUAGAAACAGAGUCUGAGUUUAUUUGUUUCAUUCAUCAGAUUUUGAUAGACGGAAGAAAAGAGAACACAAUAGCAAUACCAACACUGGUGUACCUAUCGAGAGAGAAGAGACCUGAGCAUCACCAUCACUACAAAGCUGGUUCCAUGAACGCAUUGGUAACGGUUUCGUGUUCAACAAGUCAUAUAACCAUUCUCCGAUACUACUACGCUGCUCUGAUUCUUUUGAUAUGGUUGUUUCUCUGACAGCUGAGGGUGUCUUCGAAGAUCACGUGUGGGAGAAUCAUACUUAACUUGGACUGUGAUAUGUACGCAAACAACUCAAAGUCAGCACUCGAAGCGCUCUGCAUUCUACUUGAUGAGAAAGAGGGAAAAGAGAUUGCUUUCGUGCAGUUCCCACAGUUUUAUGAUAAUCUUACAAGGAAUGAUUUGUACGGAAGCAUGAUGCGAGUAAUAGCACAUGUAAGGAUUCUGGAUGCUUUGAUAGUAUUAUUGAUUCUGCUGCUACCUAACCUUUUGUCAUUUGGGAUGUGAAAACAAAGGUGGAGUUUAAUGGAUUGGACGGAAAUGGUGGACCGUUAUACAUUGGGACAGGCUGCUUUCACAGAAGAGAUGUUAUCUGUGGAAGAAAGUAUGGAGAGGAAGAAGAAGAAGAAGAUGAAAUUGUAGAGGCUGAGAAGAUUAAGUCUCUUGCAAGCUGCACAUACGAAAAAGGCUCUGAAUGGGGAAAGGAGGUAAGGCAGUGAUUAAUAAGUCUUCACUUACUCAAUCUGUCUAUUUUUUCUGCAAAAUUAUUCUCCUGGAAAGCUCAUAAGUUCUUGGGGUAAAAGAGGAUUAAAGUGACAAGCAUCAGGUUUUGGCCUAACAAAAAAGGUUUGCAAUUUUUCAACUUCUUACUACUUUUCUCUCCUAAAUUUUGAUUUCUUGAUUAAAGUUUCCAUUGUUUUUUUGAAAAAAAUAAAGUUUCCAUUGUUGAAACAAUUAUUUCUAAGUAUUCACACUGCAAUCGAGUCCAACCAUAAUACUUUUGUUGAACGUAUAAAGGAAUUUGCAUAUCUGAAUCCUAAUGUAAAUUUACUUUAAUUCAAGCAAGGUUGACCAUGCAAUUUUUCAUCAAGACUUAACAUUCAUGAUAUUGUAAUAAAAAUCAAACUAAAUUAUAAAUUCAACAAACUAUAAGUAAUCUGGGUUAAUUAUGUUUCAAAUGUGUGUUUUUCCGAAAAUAUAUUAGAUAAAAUAACAUAAAGAUGUCAGUAAAUUGUUAUUUUAAACUGAAAAUAUAUUUAAACAAUAAAUUUAUUUGAUUCAUCACAUUCAAAUUUAUAAUCAACAUAAAUUGAGUUUUUUAUUCUGUAUGAAUCAUCUAAAGAAUUAAUGGAUCAAAUCAAGUAUUUUUGUACAUAUCCUAUUUAUUUUUGAAAUACUACAAAUAUGUUUCAAUUUUAUAAUAAUAUCAGAUUUUUUUUUUGCUUUCGACAACCGCUUUAUUUCAAUGACCUCUAAUAUUAUGUGUUUUGUAUACUAUUUAAAAAUAUUUAUUCUGAUCGCCAAUUAUAACACUGAUCAAAUAAUUUAUAAAAAAAGUAAAUUGACCGGUGCGUAGCCGGGCAGUAAUACUAGUAGAUUAUAUAAAGCAGAUUCUAAUAAAACAUAGUGUUUGCUUGUAUUGAUUUGUUUCUCAGUUUACUUAUGCAGUACUAUUAUGUUUGCAUCUUGCACUUACAUAAUACAUAAGAAGCAUUUACCUAAUUAUGAUCAAAAGCCGAUGUAUAGAACCUAAUAUCUCUAAAUCGUUAGAAAAACGUUAUUAAACUUUAUAACUUCCGGAUAAUAAAUUCGGUAAGAAUAAACAAGAAAACUAUUGUAUGAUGAGUCUUGUGGUGAUAAAGAAGCCGGUGGUAACGCUUUUUUUUUUCAUUGAAAUAGGGUAUUACAAAUACAUAGUAUAGAUCAGAUAGAAUUUUACAAAAUGAUCAGCCAGAAUCUAAACAUUACAAAUAAACCUUAUGAUAAAACAAAGAGAUGUCUUAACCAACCAGGAUAUCCAGCAGCAAUGUAAGAUUGAUAGCGAUCCUCUUUGAUCUUGAUUCUUUCUAUCUAGAGAAAGAUUCUACCAACAGUUGUACUUAAUGGACAAAAAGUACCUUCUUUCAUGAAGUCUGUUAUUGCAGUUUUAUCAGUGUUCUUUAAUGAAACCAUGUCUGGAUCGGUGCACUCGACCAUUGAUACUUGAGUCCUUGACUAUAUCAUCACCUACCAUGUGCUAAGAAAACAUUAGCUUUAGCAUUAUAUUAUUUAUAUUUAUAUUUUAUUCUUUCUUUAGCGGCCGCCUCAGAGAUGUCAUCUCAUAUACUAACAAGUUGGGUUUUACUUAACAUUUUUACCAAAAAAAAAAACAAGUUGGGUUUUAAGAAGUAUAAUCUUUGAUCAUUGACGCCUACCUGUCAUCAUUUGUGUGAAGAAGAAACAUACAUGCUGACGAUUACAAUGAGGUCAGCGACGACCUCGAUAUCCACGUUCCUUUUUUGACUAUUAUCUCCAAAAUGACACCUACGGCCUCUCGACUAAUCUCUACUUAAGGCUCUCUUAUUACUCCAACCCAUGAGAGAGACGUUUCUCUUAUCCUCUUGAAAGAAAACUAAACAAAAAUGGCAAAAGAAGAUAACCGGUUUAGCUCGGCUCAUGAAGGCGACCGUGAACCGCUUUUCGCGACCAGGAGGAGAACCGGAGGACUGAUUGCGUUUCGUUUUUUUGCGGCCUCGGUUUUCGGGUGCAUCUGUUGUACUUGGUUCUACAGAGUGGUCGAACCGUUAGAGAAAGAUGAGAACCGAACCGGUUUCUUUCGGUUAAUUUGGUUGGUUAUGCUAAUUUUGGAGAUCUGGUUCGGUUUGUACUGGCUUGUCGUGCAGUCUCUCCGUUGGAAUCCGGUUUGGCGAUCCACCUUCACCGAUAGACUCUCCCGGAGAUACGGCAACGAUCUCCCGAGGCUCGACGUUUUCGUUUGCACGGCGGAUCCGGUGAUAGAGCCGCCGUUGAUGGUGGUCAACACAGUGUUAUCCGU
rnacentral:lncRNA from 1 species